GAUGAACGCUGGCGGCGUGCCUAAUACAUGCAAGUCGAGCGAACGGACGAGAAGCUUGCUUCUCUGAUGUUAGCGGCGGACGGGUGAGUAACACGUGGAUAACCUACCUAUAAGACUGGGAUAACUUCGGGAAACCGGAGCUAAUACCGGAUAAUAUUUUGAACCGCAUGGUUCAAAAGUGAAAGACGGUCUUGCUGUCACUUAUAGAUGGAUCCGCGCUGCAUUAGCUAGUUGGUAAGGUAACGGCUUACCAAGGCAACGAUGCAUAGCCGACCUGAGAGGGUGAUAGGCCCCACUGCAACUGAGCCACGCUCCAGACCCCUACGGGAGGCAGCAGUAGGGAAUCUUCCGCAAUGGGCGAAAGCCUGACGGAGCACCGCCGCGUGAGUGAUGAAGGUCUUCGGAUCGUAAAACUCUGUUAUUAGGGAAGAACAUAUGUGUAAGUAACUGUGCACAUCUUGACGGUACCUAAUCAGAAAGCCACGGCUAACUACGUG
rnacentral:rRNA from 1 species